rnacentral:rRNA from 1 species
GAGCAGUUGAGGAAUAUUGGACAAUGGGCGCAAGCCUGAUCCAGCCAUGCCGCGUGCAGGAAGACGCUUAUAUGGAGUGUAAACUGCUUUUGUACGGGAAGAAACACCUCUACGUGUAGGGGCUUGACGGUACAGUAAGAAUAAGGAUCGUCUAACUCCGUGCCAGCAGCCGCGGUAAUACGGAGGAUCCAAGCGUUAUCCGGAAUCAUUGGGUUUAAAGGGUCCGUAGGCGGUUUUAUAAGUCAGAGGUGAAAGCCCAUCGCUCAACGAUGGAACGGCCAUUGAUACUGUCAGACUUGAAUUAGUAGGAAGUAAUUAGAAUAUGUAGUGUAGCGGUGAAAUGCUUAGAUAUUACAUGGAAUGCCAAUUGCGAUGUCAGGUUACUAAUAGUGGAUUGACGCUGAUAGACGAAAGCGUGGACAGCGAACAGGAUCAGAUACCGUGGUAGUCCACACCGUAAACGAUGGAUUCUAGCUGUUCUGAGCAAUCUCAGUGCUAAGCUAAAGCGUAAUAUCCCCUGGACUCGAAGCGGG